CCUUCAGGAAGAAGAAAAUUCAUUCUAGAGCUCCCUGCCCCCUAACCUGCCCUGUAUUGUCAGUGUGGACGACUGCAGGGCGUUGGGGGAUUUGCCUUGGGCUCAGGGUUAGUCUCUCAUUGCUGUUGUUUGCUUUAAAAGGAGGAAGAGAGGAAGAAACCCUCAAGCCCUGGCCCCUGGAGAUGUAGCUGGGAGGUGGCAUGGUUUUCCCCUUCCGGGAGGAGCAGGUGCCUGGGGCCUGCAGUGUUGGUGGUUGUGCCACUACUUUGUUUUUUUGUGCCAUUACUUUCUUUCCACCCCAGGAUGUGCACAGCAGUGCAUUCAUCACCUGCUGCUGUUGUGGCCGAAACCGAGACCGCGCUCUGUUUGCCCAGCACGGCCCGAGUGCGUCGUAGCAUGGCAGGGACAUCAGAUUUCCAUCCUGGUGCCCCAGCCUUCUUGGGGUCUGACCCAGCUUCUCCGAGACCGUCUACAUGCCAUCAUCCGGGCCCAUCUGACACUCUGUCCCCUAAAGGACUCAUCUGACCGUCAUCUGUGCUCUUGGAGAGAUCAUUCCUGCUGUAAUGGUUUUAUGGCUUCACUUCUCAGAGGCUUCAGCUUCAUCAGUCCCGGUUUGGUCAGAGAGGCCAGAAGACGGCCGUGCGGACAUCUCUCAUCCACCAAUGGGUACCCCGAGAGGGGAGAGACUGAAGGGCCCUGGGCUUGCCCGGGUCUUGGUC